rnacentral:rRNA from 1 species
UACAGAGGUCCCAAGCGUUGUUCGGAUUCACUGGGCGUAAAGGGUGCGUAGGCGGUCGGGUAAGUCUGAUGUGAAAUCUCACAGCUUAACUGUGAGACUGCAUUGGAUACUAUCCGGCUCGAGGAAUGGAGGGGAGACUGGAAUACUUGGUGUAGCAGUGAAAUGCGUAGAUAUCAAGAGGAACACCAGUGGCGAAGGCGAGUCCCUGGACAACUUCUGACGCUGAGGCACGAAAGCUAGGGGAGCAAACAGG